rnacentral:rRNA from 1 species
ACUCUAUGCGGUGGAUCACUCGGCUCAUGGGUCGAUGAAGAACGCAGCAAACUGUGCGUCAUCGUGUGAACUGCAGGACACAUGAACAUCGACAUUUUGAACGCAUAUCGCAGUCCAUGCUGUUAUGUACUUUAAUUAAUUUUAUAAAACUAAAUAAUUAAAAAAUGGAUAAAAUAAAAAACUUUGCAUACAAGAAUUAAUAAAAAUGUUAUAUAACGAAUUUAAUUAAAUGUUUUUAUCAUUAUAUAUAAAGAAUUUAUGGCAAGAUAAAGUUAUAUACAACCUCAACUCAUAUGGGACUACCCCCUGAAUUUAAGCAUAUUAAUUAGGGGAGGAAAAGAAACUAACAAGGAUUUUUCUUAGUAGCGGCGAGCGAAAAAGAAAACAGUUCAGCAUUAAGUCACUUUGUCUUAGUCAGCGUAAUUAACUUGGACUAAUAAUGGGAUUAGUUUUUAGCUAUUUAUAGCUAAUUAACACAAUCCCGGGGCGCUCUAUAUACUUAUGUAUAAUGUAUAUUUAUAUUAUUUAUGCCUCUAAUUGGAACGUACCUUGAGCAUAUAUGCUGUGACCCGAAAGAUGGUGAACUAUACUUGAUCAGGUUGAAGUCAGGGGAAACCCUGAUGGAAGACCGAAACAGUUCUGACGUGCAAAUCGAUUGUCAGAAUUGAGUAUAGGGGCGAAAGACCAAUCGAACCAUCUAGUAGCUGGUUCCUUCCGAAGUUUCCCUCAGGAUAGCUGGUGCAUUUUAAUAUUAUAUAAAAUAAUCUUAUCUGGUAAAGCGAAUGAUUAGAGGCCUUAGGGUCGAAACGAUCUUAACCUCUUCUCAAACUUUAAACGGGUAAGAACCUUAACUUUCUUGAUAUGAAGUUCAAGGUUAUGAUAUAAUGUGCCCAGUGGGCCACUUUUGGUAAGCAGAACUGGCGCUGUGGGAUGAACCAAACGUAAUGUUACGGUGCCCAAAUUAACAACUCAUGCAGAUACCAUGAAAGGCGUUGGUUGCUUAAAACAGCAGGACGGUGAUUAUGGAAGUCGAAAUCCGCUAAGGAGUGUGUAACAACUCACCUGCCGAAGCAACUAGCCCUUAAAAUGGAUGGCGCUUAAGUUGUAUACCUAUACAUUACCGCUAAAGUAGAUGAUUUAUAUUACUUGUGAUAUAAAUUUUGAAACUUUAGUGAGUAGGAAGGUACAAUGGUAUGCGUAGAAGUGUUUGGCGUAAGCCUGCAUGGAGCUGCCAUUGGUACAGAUCUUGGUGGUAGUAGCAAAUAAUCGAAUGAGACCUUGGAGGACUGAAGUGGAGAAGGGUUUCGUGUGAAAAGUGGUUGAUCACGAGUUAGUCGGUCCUAAGUUCAAGGCGAAAGCCGAAAAUUUUCAAGUAAAACAAAAAUGCCUAACUAUAUAAACAAAGCGAAUUAUAAUACACUUGAAUAAUUUUGAACGAAAGGGAAUACGGUUCCAAUUCCGUAACCUGUUGAGUAUCCGUUUGUUAUUAAAUAUGGGCCUCGUGUUCAUCCUGGCAACAGGAACGACCAUAAAGAAGCCGUCGAGAGAUAUCGGAAGAGUUUUCUUUUCUGUUUUAUAGCCGUACUACCAUGGAAGUCUUUCGCAGAGAGAUAUGGUAGAUGGGCUAGAAGAGCAUGACAUAUACUGUUGUGUCGAUAUAUUCUCUUCGGACCUUGAAAACUUAUGGUGGGGACACGCAAACUUCUCAACAGGCCGUACCAAUAUCCGCAGCUGGUCUCCAAGGUGAAAAGUCUCUAGUCGAUAGAAUAAUGUAGGUGAGGGAAGUCGGCAAAUUAGAUCCGUAACUUCGGGAUAAGGAUUGGCUCUGAAGAUUGAGAUAGUCGGGCUUGAUUGGGAAACAAUAACAUGGUUUAUGUGCUCGUUCUGGGUAAAUAGAGUUUCUAGCAUUUAUGUUAGUUACUUGUUCCCCGGAUAGUUUAGUUACGUAGCCAAUUGUGGAACUUUCUUGCUAAAAUUUUUAAGAAUACUAUUUGGGUUAAACCAAUUACUUCUUAUUAAUUAUAACGAUUAUCAAUUAACAAUCAAUUCAGAACUGGCACGGACUUGGGAAAUCCGACUGUCUAAUUAAAACAAAGCAUUGUGAUGGCCCUAGCGGGUGUUGACACAAUGUGAUUUCUGCCCAGUGCUCUGAAUGUCAAAGUGAAGAAAUUCAAGUAAGCACUGGUCAACGGCGGGAGUAACUAUGACUGUCUUAAGGGGAGUCAUGGGGUAUUUGAGAGCAGAGGGGGAGUAUUCUUCUGUAAUUCGUAAGUCAUAUCAUAUGAUGUGCGGAAGGGGAAUUUUACUCUGUAACUCACAAGUCUCUCCUUUACUCAAGUCGACUCAAAACCUCCUCGUGGUGGUCCCCGGUAAUGCUAAACUUGUUUAGCAGCUAAUUUGAGCGGCAAAACUUUUCCGAUGGGCUGGUUCCCCAGAGGAAAUUUAUUCAUAUUGAAACUACAAGCACAAAUAACGAGCCUCGGAUAACUUUACACAAUCUGAUGACGACCCGACCCUCCGUGGAUAUCUUCCCGGAGGACCAAUAUGAACCAAACGAAGCGGUUACUCUAUCUAGGGUUCCCUGCACAGUAUAUGACCGGUCCUUUAACAGCAAGAGAGGACUCGGUGUUCACAUGCGAUCUCGGCACCCAGACGAACUUGAUGAAGAACGUCGACGUGUCGAUAUAAAGGCAAGAUGGAGUGAUGAAGAGAAGUGGAUGAUGGCGAGAAAGGAGGUUGAGCUCACAGCAAAUGGAUGUAAACACAUAAACAACUAGCGGUGUAUUUUGCAAACCGCAGCGUCGAAGCCAUCAAAAAGCUAAGACAGAGGGGCGAUUAU